AGUCGAACGGCAGCACGGGAGCAAUCCUGGUGGCGAGUGGCGAACGGGUGAGUAAAGUAUCGGAACGUGCCCAGUCGUGGGGGAUAACGCAGCGAAAGUUGUGCUAAUACCGCAUACGAUCUAUGGAUGAAAGCGGGGGAUCGCAAGACCUCGCGCGACUGGAGUGGCCGAUAUCAGAUUAGCUAGUUGGUGGGGUAAAGGCUCACCAAGGCGACGAUCUGUAGCUGGUCUGAGAGGACGACCAGCCACACUGGAACUGAGACACGGUCCAGACUCCUACGGGAGGCAGCAGUGGGGAAUUUUGGACAAUGGGCGCAAGCCUGAUCCAGCAAUGCCGCGUGCAGGAAGAAGGCCUUCGGGUUGUAAACUGCUUUUGUACGGAGCGAAAAGGCUCUCUCUAAUACAGGGGGCUCAUGACGGUACCGUAAGAAUAAGCACCGGCUAACUACGUGCCAGCAGCCGCGGUAAUACGUAGGGUGCAAGCGUUAAUCGGAAUUACUGGGCGUAAAGCGUGCGCAGGCGGUUUUGUAAGACCGGCGUGAAAUCCCCGGGCUCAACCUGGGAAUGGCGCUUGUGACUGCAAAGCUGGAGUGCGGCAGAGGGGGAUGGAAUUCCGCGUGUAGCAGUGAAAUGCGUAGAUAUGCGGAGGAACACCGAUGGCGAAGGCAAUCCCCUGGGCCUGCACUGACGCUCAUGCACGAAAGCGUGGGGAGCAAACAGGAUUAGAUACCCUGGUAGUCCACGCCCUAAACGAUGUCAACUGGUUGUUGGGUCUUAACUGACUCAGUAACGAAGCUAACGCGUGAAG
rnacentral:rRNA from 1 species